rnacentral:rRNA from 1 species
UUUUUGAUAAUAAUUUAAAGUCUAACCUGCCCACUGAAUUUUUGAAGGGCCGCGGUAUUUUGACUGUGCAAAGGUAGCAUAAUCAUUAGUCUUUUAAUUGAAGGCUUGUAUGAAUGGUUGAAUGAGGUAUUAACUGUCUCAAUUUAAUAAUAAUUAGAAUUUUAUUUUUAAGUUAAAAAGCUUAAAUUAUAUUGGAGGACGAGAAGACCCUAUAGAUCUUUAUAAUUUUUUUUAAUAAUAAUUUUAUAGUAAUUAUUUAUUUUUAUUAAAUUAAUUAUUUUAUUGGGGUGAUAAAAAAAUUUAUUAAACUUUUUUUGUAAAUAAACAAUAAUUUUUGAUUAAUUGAUCCAUUUUUAGUGAUUAUAAGAUUAAGUUACCUUAGGGAUAACAGUGUAAUUUUUUUGGAAAGUUCAUAUUUAUAAAAAAGAUUGCAACCUCGAUGUUGAAUUAAAGGUAAAUUUUAGGUGUAGAAGUUUAAAAUUUAGGUCUGUUCGACCUUUAGAUCUUU